rnacentral:lncRNA from 1 species
UAGCGCUAGAGAGGUGGCUGCUAGCCCAGCAUCUCUGCCUCACCUUACAGAUUUAGGGUGGAGUCUGAAAACCCGCAAUCUCCAAAUUCCAGACACUCCCGUAAACAAAACAGGAAGUGAACACUUUCGAGUCGAUGGGCGCAGAAUAAUGAGAGCUGGUGGAAGAGGAGCAUUUCUGGGAUUUACAUGUAAAAAAAUUGGAUUAAGGGCAGAAUCAAGCCCAGCGGAAGGAGACAAAGAAAGCCUGGAAAGCUAAAAUCAGAAGGAAGAAAAACAAAUAGAGCAGUAAAGUGUGAGGAAUUGGAAAGUGGAGUUUUGAGUAGAAGCCAGAGUUAUAAAGUUUCAGAGCUGGAAGGAGAUAUCUGUGGAAGCUGAACUGGGCCUGAAGACUAAAUAAUCUGCCAAAACCACAGGGAUGAUUAGUGGCAGACAAGCAAAGGACCCUCGUUUUUGGUAAAUGGUGCAUGUGACCCUUACAAUGCUCGAUUGAAAACACGUCACAAGGCCAAGUAAACCCACAGAGAAGCAUCCCUCCACCCAGUGUCUCUGCUCUUCUCUGCCGACUCCUGUACACGUGCACACACCGCCACCAUUGUAACAAUACAGGAAAUUGAAGGAAGCCAUUUGAAACCACCAAGGCGGGCACAGCCGCCACAGAUAACAUAUCAAACGCGAGGCUGGAAAUGAGCCCUGUUCGCUCUCACACAGGAAGUCCAACUCAAGCUGUUUGACCCUAUUCACUAAUCAGUUCCAUACUCACAAAAGAAUGUUGGAACAAAAACAGAAGCGGGGAGAAGAAAGAAACCAACCACCUUUUCCUUAGGAAGAGGUCUGGUUCCAAGGAGUUUUAAAAGAAGUCCUUUCAGUCUACAGAGUUCUGCAAGAAACUUGGUUUAUAACGAGAGUAGAAUUGCAGUACCUCUGGAGAGCUGUGGCGGAAGAAGAGGAAAGACAGUAUGUUGAUGUCUUUGAAAGGCAGCUACCUCACUCCUUUUGGGAGGGAUUCAGCACCACUAGCAAAACACUGGAAAGAAAAGGUGGAAUAGCUGCUAAAGUAGGAGACGUCAUUCUGUCCCGACAAGGACCCGGGUGAGAUUGCUAAUGCUAUUGCUUCUUCUGCUUGAAGCUGGUGCCAGCGAGGAGCAAGAGUGGAGCUGAGGUUAUUAUACACUGCAGUUUUCGUUAUCCUGGUAGUGAUGCCCAGUUCCCACUGCCAUUCCGAAGCUGCCUGUCCUUCGGGGUGUGACACAGGGUAAGACUGCCCUAAACCAUGUCACCGAGCCAAAAUCAGACAAAUAAAAGUAGAACAACAAUAACAACAUCAAC